rnacentral:tRNA from 1 species
GGUCGGCUCGUCGAUGGCGGACGCAGCAUUCUCGAUGCAUCGGACAAGCUGGGCCAGGUGCUGUUCGAAUCCGCGGCCGGCGU